rnacentral:rRNA from 1 species
UACGUAGGGUGCGAGCGUUUGUCCGGAAUUAUUGGGCGUAAAGGGCUCGUAGGCGGUUUGUCGCGUCGGGAGUGAAAUCCACUGGCUUAACUGGUGGCUUGCUUUCGAUACGGGCAGACUGGAGGUAUGCAGGGGAGAACGGAAUUCCUGGUGUAGCGGUGAAAUGCGCAGAUAUCAGGAGGAACACCGGUGGCGAAGGCGGAUCUCUGGGCCAUUACUGACGCUGAGGAGCGAAAGCGUGGGGAGCGAACAGG